CAUCAAGCUCGGAUAACUAUGAAAUUUUGCCUAGUAAUAAGCUUAGAGUGGAAGAGUCGGUGAGGAGGAGGGCAUCUGCUCUUAGAUGAGCUAAGAUUUAUACCCUUCCAUUGGGAGUUCUUCCUUUGAUUCUUCGUAUGUUUUCUCCCUAGCCCUAGCAGCCUUUACAGGGUGCUCGAACUUCGUGAAGAACUCCAUUCUAUCUCUCCCUCGUUACGAACAAAAAAGUGGGGUUGCGCCCCAAUUGUACACUCCUUUCGUUCUACGAACCCUUGUUGAUUCUGAACUUCAUUCGCGAAGGAACCGGACGCUAAAGAAAUGAAAAGGCACAUUGCGUCUUGGAACACCGUACUACAUAAAUGAAAGAAACGCCAAAGUAAACUAAUCAAUUGGAAGGCAACGAAUAAAACAUAGAACACGAUUAACACUAAAUGGAAACCCAAUGCAGCAAAGAAAUCAAUUGUAAUUAAUGCUAUUAAAAUACUAUUAAGCUAAAAAGUAAACACUGAUUUUAAUAGCUAGCAAUGCCAUUCAUCAUUGAGAAACAAUGCAAGGAAAAGUGCAAGGAAAAUAUGCGUGAACAUAUAAAGAGGCAAAAGAUGUGGAUGUUACAUUGCUGGAAUAAAAACAAUCAAUGCAAGAGUGUUGUGUGCUUCUAAAUCAACUACUUUUUUUCUAAAAGCCAAAAGAAAAUAAAUGUGAUAAAAGGGUUUCACCCAGGCCGUACUCAUCUCUUAAACCGUGACACCACCUACUUUCUCCAAUUUCCAAUCAAUAAUAA
rnacentral:lncRNA from 1 species